UGGGAUUUAUUUAAUGUAGAAGCUUGUCUGAAGACUGUCCGUGGGAGAGGUCCGAUUGCAUGAGGAAUCCGACAGAAGGAUGAUCGAUAGAAGAGUUCGGAAGGCAUUGUGGAAGUUUGUCUGCUAAAGGAGUCUAGAGGACACUGUGGAAGGUCGACUGCUGGAGGAGUCCGGAGGACACUGUGGAAGGUCGACUGCUGGAGGAGCUCGGAGAGAAUUUGUCCGUUGGAGGGGUCUGGUUGGCACUGUUAAAGUCCGAUUGGCGUUGUUGAAGGUUGAUGGUUGGAGAGCUAUGGAAGACAUCGGAGACAGUCGGUCAUUAUAGAAAUCUGGCUGCUGGAGCCCGUUCGUUGUAGAAAUUCAUCUGGAAUCCAUCCGCUGUAGAAGUUCGGACGGAGUCUGAUUUUUACAGAAGUCCGGAAGGAGGUCGCUUACUGUAGAAGCUCGGAUGGAGAUUGGUUGUCGUGGAAGUCCGAAUGG
rnacentral:lncRNA from 1 species